rnacentral:rRNA from 1 species
CAGCCGCCGCGGUAAUAUGUAGGUGGCAAGCGUUGUCCGGAAUUAUUGGGCGUAAAGGGCUCGCAGGCGGUUUCUUAAGUCUGAUGUGAAAGCCCCCGGCUCAACCGGGGAGGGUCAUUGGAAACUGGGAAACUUGAGCGCAGAAGAGGAGAGUGGAAUUCCACGUGUAGCGGUGAAAUGCGUAGAGAUGUGGAGGAACACCAGUGGCGAAGGCGACUCUCUGGUCUGUAACUGACGCUGAGGAGCGAAAGCGUGGGGAGCGAACAGGAUUAGAUACCCCCGUAGUCCCUGUCUCUUAUAC